rnacentral:tRNA from 1 species
CCCCUGGUGGCUCAGAGGGUAAAGCAUCUGCCUGCAAUGUGGGAGACCUGGGUUCAAUUCCUAGGUUGGGAA